AUUUUAUAUUUUCCAAAAUGAUGAAAUUUCUUCCCAUUUCAAAAUAGUAUUUAUUGUCGAGAUUUACCUGAAUAUUCAAAAGCCACGGUUCUGAGUAAAGAUGAAGUGUCAUUUUCAUUCACCUUUAAAGGAGGUCUUCUAUUCACAUGGCUCAUUAACAAAUAGGAAUGUGCUUUUCCUACUCAAUGUGAUUUAUAGUUACAAGAAUGUUUCUCCCUUCUUGUGACAGGUUUCGUGAUGAGAAAAUGAAAGAAAAACAAAGACACCAAGAGGAAAGGCUAAAAGCUGCUCUGGAAAAAGCAGUAGCACAACCAAAGAAAAAGUUGGGAAGACGACUUGUCUUUCAUUCAAAACCUCCAUCUGGUAACAAACAGCAGCUACCUUUAGUCAAUGAAACAAAAACAAAAUCACAAGAGGAAGAAUAUUUUUUUACUUGAAUAAAAGCAGUAAGACAUUUUAUUACCA
rnacentral:sRNA from 1 species